AUGACAGUAGCAAAAAUGCAAAAGUGUUCACAGAAUCAAAAAGCAAGCAUGUAUAUAAAGCGAUUGGAAGAAAUAAAGGUUACCGAUAUGAGGAAAUCAAUAGCACUUUCAGUGAAGGCGAAAUCAGCAGUUUACGGAAAGAAAAAUGGAAGGUGGCGAUGGUUGGAUGUGUUACCGUUAGUGGUUUUGAAGAGACUGAGGAGAUAUUCUGGGCAAAGGUAUUUUGGGCUAUUGUAUGGUGUAGGGCAUCAACAGUUUUGGACUGCUUUGUGCAGUUUUUUAUUGGACUGUAAUGCAAAUUUUUAUUUGGACAAGUCUUGGCAAGGGCUGUUUCGAAAGGGUGAGCAUGAAGUUUGGACAUGA